rnacentral:rRNA from 1 species
ACGCUCGACACCUACGGGGGCAGCAGUGGGGAAUAUUGCACAAUGGGGGAAACCCUGAUGCAGCGACGCCGCGUGAAGGAUGAAGUAUUUCGGUAUGUAAACUUCUAUCAGCAGGGAAGAAAAUGACGGUACCUGACUAAGAAGCCCCGGCUAACUACGUGCCAGCAGCCGCGGUAAUCUGAGCGGGCUGGCAAGGC